AGUGAACGCUGGCGGUAGGCCUAACACAUGCAAGUCGAACGGCAGCACAGUAAGAGCUUGCUCUUACGGGUGGCGAGUGGCGGACGGGUGAGGAAUACAUCGGAAUCUACUUUUUCGUGGGGGAUAACGUAGGGAAACUUACGCUAAUACCGCAUACGACCUACGGGUGAAAGCAGGGGAUCUUCGGACCUUGCGCGAUUGAAUGAGCCGAUGUCGGAUUAGCUAGUUGGCGGGGUAAAGGCCCACCAAGGCGACGAUCCGUAGCUGGUCUGAGAGGAUGAUCAGCAACACUGGAACUGAGACACGGUCCAGACUCCUACGGGAGGCAGCAGUGGGGAAUAUUGGACAAUGGGCGCAAGCCUGAUCCAGCAAUACCGCGUGGGUGAAGAAGGCCUUCGGGUUGUAAAGCCCUUUUGUUGGGAAAGAAAAGCAGCAGGUUAAUACCCCGCUGUUCUGACGGUACCCAAAGAAUAAGCACCGGCUAACUUCGUG
rnacentral:rRNA from 1 species